CCUACGGGAGGCAGCAGUGAGGAAUAUUGGUCAAUGGACGCGAGUCUGAACCAGCCAAGCCGCGUGAAGGAAGACGGCCCUAUGAGUUGUAAACUGCUUUUAUAUGGGGAUAAAAGCAGGUAUGCAUACCUGCUUGUAAGUACCGUAUGAAUAAGGAUCGGCUAACUCCGUGCCAGCAGCCGCGGUAAUACGGAGGAUCCGAGCGUUAUCCGGAUUUAUUGGGUUUAAAGGGAGCGUAGGUGGAUGGUUAAGUUAGUUGUGAAAGUUUGCGGCUCAACCUUAAAAUUGCAGUUGAUACUGUCAGUCUAGAGAGCAGUAGAGGUAGGCGGAAUGUGUGGUGUAGCGGUGAAAUGCUUAGAUAUCACACAGAACACCGAUUGCGAAGGCAGCUCACUGGACUGCUACUGACACUGAGGCUCGAAAGUGUGGGUAGCAAACAGGAUUAGAUACCCGAGUAGUC
rnacentral:rRNA from 1 species